rnacentral:misc_RNA from 1 species
GAUGAAGAACGCAGUGAAAUGCGAUAAGUAAUGUGAAUUGCAGAAUUCAGUGAAUCAUCGAAUCUUUGAACGCACAUUGCGCCCUCUGGUAUUCCGGGGGGCAUGCCUGUUCGAGCGUCAUUACAACCCUCAAGCUUUGCUUGGUAUUGGACAUUGCCAGUUUCUGGCAGGUCUUAAAAUCAGUGGCGGUGCCAUUUGGCUUCAAGCGUAGUAAUUCUUCACGCUUUGGAGAUCCAAGUGGUUACUUGCCAAUAACCCCCAAUUUUUUCAGGUUGACCUCGGAUCAGGUAGGGAUACCCGCUGAACUUAAGCAUAUCAAUAAGCGGAGGA